rnacentral:rRNA from 1 species
GACGUAGGGCGCGAGCGUUGUCCGGAUUUAUUGGGCGUAAAGAGCUCGUAGGCGGUUUGUCGCGUCGUUCGUGAAAAACUCACAGCUUAACUGUGAGCUUGCGGUCGAUACGGGCAGGCUAGAGUUCGGUAGGGGGAGACUGGAAUUCCUGGUGUAGCGGUGAAAUGCGCAGAUAUCAGGAGGAACACCGGUGGCGAAGGCGGGGUCUCUGGGGCCGAUACUGACGCUGAGGAGCGAAAAGCGUGGGGGAGCGAACAGG